rnacentral:tRNA from 1 species
GCCACCUAAGAAGAUCCGUGACUAGCCUUCGUAAUGCGGGGGUCACAGGUUCGAGUCCUGUAAGCGGCACCA